GACGAACGCUGGCGGCGUGCUUAACACAUGCAAGUCGAACGAAGUGGCGAACGGGUGAGUAACGCGUAAUCAACCUGCCCUUCAGAGGGGGACAACAGUUGGAAACGAAUGCUAAUACCGCAGACUGAAGGAGGGGAUUGGGGCGGAUUAGCUAGUUGGAGGGGUAACGGCCCACCCAGGCGAGGAUCAGUAGCCGGUCUGAGAGGAUGAACGGCCACAGUGGGACUGAGACACGGCCCUUACUCUGACGGGAGGCAGCAGUGGGGAAUAUUGGCCAAUGGACCAAAGUCUGAUCCAGCUAUUCUGUGUGCACGAUGAAGUUUUUCGGAAUGUAAAGUGCUUUCAGUUGGGAAGCGGUACCAACAGAAGAAGUGACGGCUAAAUACGUGCCAGCAGCCGCGGUAAUAC
rnacentral:rRNA from 1 species